rnacentral:rRNA from 1 species
UACGUAGGGUGCGAGCGUUGUCCGGAAUUAUUGGGCGUAAAGAGCUCGUAGGCGGCUUGUCGCGUCGUCCGUGAAAACCUGCAGCUCAACUGCAGGCUUGCGGUCGAUACGGGCAGGCUGGAGUUCGGUAGGGGAGACUGGAAUUCCUGGUGUAGCAGUGAAAUGCGUAGAUAUCAGGAGGAACACCGGUGGCGAAGGCGGCUUUCUGGACAGAAACUGACGCUGAUGCGCGAAAGCUAGGGGAGCAAACAGG